rnacentral:rRNA from 1 species
UACGAAGGGGGCUAGCGUUGUUCGGAAUUACUGGGCGUAAAGGGCGCGUAGGCGGUCUUGUAAGUCAGAUGUGAAAGCCCCGGGCUCAACCCGGGAAUAGCAUUUGAUACUGCGAGGCUUGAGUCCGGGAGAGGAUGGCGGAAUUCCCAGUGUAGAGGUGAAAUUCGUAGAUAUUGGGAAGAACACCGGUGGCGAAGGCGGCCAUCUGGACCGGUACUGACGCUGAGGCGCGAAAGCGUGGUGAGCAAACAGG